CUUGAUUUAAUGUCUAGAACAUUUGGAGACCCCAGCUGGCCUCCUAAGGAAGGCAGCCAGAAUGGAGAUGGAGUGGGAUGCUGGAUUGAGGCCUAGGCAGGCCCUUCCCCCACAGCGAAGGUUUUGUGAGGAGUAUCUUUUGUUCGAACCUUCUGUUAGGUUCUGAUUCCAUCCAUCUCUCAACCAGCGGAAGAGGCAAGCUUGGCCCCUGGGCUCAGGGGCCCUGCUGUGGUGUGUAAUCACACCGAGGACAGCAAUUCUGGCAUGAUGUACCAGAUGCCAGCUAGCAUGCUCUCUCUUAUCAUAUCCACCCUCUGGGAAAAGACUUAUUAGCAUCUCAUUCUAUAGACACAGAACCGUGGGAGCAUCUGAUCAAGGUUACUGACUUAGCAAGCAAAGACAGGGAUCCUAGGAGCUGGAGACCACACUCAUCCUUGCUGUGGACACACACCGAUCGAGGCAGAGUCUGGGCUGCCAGCAGGGCUGAGGUGGUGGAACAGAACGGGUGAAAUCCGGAAGACUGGUGCUUACAU